rnacentral:sRNA from 1 species
GCACUGGCAACAUCCAGUGCCGGGAUUAGCACCCCGUUUUU